AAUCUCCCCUCGACUGUAUAAAGAGAGGAUCUGAGGCUGUUAGCCUUCAAUCCGGUGAUUCAUGCAGCUGGCACACAGAGAAGAUUCCACCUCUCUCCUCCCUGCCACACAGUACCAAGCUAAACAAAACGUCUUAGAAAGCUCCAGUACAUGUAGUUAGCCUGUCAGAAACCCCUCCCCCACGCCGGUCCUCCCCUCUCCCACUUUUUUUUUCCCCCCUUGCUUUCUUUUUCUUCUUCUACAGAGCCAAAGAGUCCAAAUGCCUAGCACCUGCCUUUUCCUGACAUUUCCACAAAGGACCCAGCUCUAGCCAUCAUGACAACAGCAUUCCUGACCUCUGAGCUGCUCAAAAUGCUGAGACGGGACUGGAGGUGAGCCGGACACCUCAUCCACACCCCGGUGCCACCAACACCCGCUGCAGCCUUGUUUCCAACACCGUGUUGGUUCUCAGCGAGAGACGUCUGGACAGCUGAGGUAGAGGAACUGGAAGGCAAGAAGAAAAUCUCCCACGUGUUCUUCUCAUCACAGCACUCAAAACUCACAGCUGAGGGGUUCCAGUUACUCAACAGAAGGAUUAGCUUUCCGGUGCAAUUAAAAACAGACACUCUGCAAGGAACCAGCUUGUACACUUUCCUCAAAUUACCCUCAGUCUAUCCAGAAAAAGAGGCCGCUAAAGUAAACACACAACACGAAAGUGAUAUUAAAUAUGCCUGUGUUCUGGACGAGAGCAUACCUGGAAACUGUUUCAUCCACGAUGGGGUGUUUUGCCGAGCAUGUACUGGGGUCAACGCUGGAAGAUCAGAGAAACAGAACAAGCCACAGCCACCUCACCUCA